AUUGAACGCUGGCGGCAUGCCUUACACAUGCAAGUCGAACGGCAGCACGGGAGCAAUCCUGGUGGCGAGUGGCGAACGGGUGAGUAAUAUAUCGGAACGUGCCCAGUAGUGGGGGAUAACUGCUCGAAAGAGCAGCUAAUACCGCAUACGACCUGAGGGUGAAAGCGGGGGAUCGCAAGACCUCGCGCUAUUGGAGCGGCCGAUAUCAGAUUAGCUAGUUGGUGGGGUAAAAGCUCACCAAGGCGACGAUCUGUAGCUGGUCUGAGAGGACGCCCAGCCACACUGGGACUGAGACACGGCCCAGACUCCUACGGGAGGCAGCAGUGGGGAAUUGUGGACAGUGGGCGCAAGCCUGAUCCAGCCAUGCCGCGUGCGGGAAGAAGGCCUUCGGGUUGUAAACCGCUUUUGUCAGGGAAGAAACGGCUCCUACUAAUACUGGGGGCUAAUGACGGUACCUGAAGAAUAAGCACCGGCUAACUACGUGCCAGCCGCCGCCGUAA
rnacentral:rRNA from 1 species